GUCCCUGUGGGGCAAUGGAUAGCGCUUUGGACUUCUUAUCCAAAUUCGUGGGUUCGUAUCCCACCUGGGAUG